rnacentral:lncRNA from 1 species
UUGUGUCGUCGACCGAAAUCAGUACUACUAGUUGCCAUCCGCCGUUAACCAAGAAGGAGAUAAAGAAGUACACAUUACUGCUCGACCUCCCAUAAUCAACCAAAUCCAGAUUCUGCAAACAAAGGAUUGGAGCCAAAUAAGCCGCGACUUUCUCAAACCUGGUGAUCCGAUACCGAGGUUUAAAUUUUCGCUCCAAACCGGAUUCAGCUCAGUUUCCACACCAGAAAACGCUCAUAAAGUAAAAAGAGAAGGAGGAAGUCGUCCAAGUGGUACCACAGUAACCACAAAGUUCCGUUUUCGCUGCUUUCGCUCUUGCGUUUGAGGAAAAUGUCCCGAUUUCAGGAUCUCGAUGAUUUAUUUAAUCGGCGGCUGCUGGCUGCGGUAAUCACGGACCUGGUCGAAAAUAGAACAGAGUCUGGAUACGAAGAGGAGCUCCGCCGGCAGAAAAAACUGCUGGCUGUGAUUUUAACACCCGAAAUCAAGCUGCACAGAGCAGGUCAGUUUUCCUUACACUUCUGGAUACAUGUUUCAAUGCCUUUACUGAAGCAAGCGCCACACACAGGCUGCAAUAAACCAUAUUAAUAAAAUGGCAAAAUAAUAUGAUUAAACCUGAAAUGACUUUAGGGCAAAAAUAGUAUUUGUUUUCAAGGAAAAGUUUUAUUACGAAUAUAUGAAGUACUACACAACCGCAACAACAAAUACAACAGCUGUCCUAUAGUGUUUUAUCCUAUUAACUGCUGGGAAAGGGAAAAAAAUCAAGUACUUGUAGUUCAAGAGUUAAAAAGAGCUAAAAUCCUGUCUGAUUCAGAGGGGUAAAACUUUGUCUCUUCAGUGUUUCUUUACCCUUAAGCCCCUUUAUUUUAGAGGGCUUGAUAAACAUCUCACCCACUAUAGCAGGGUAUUGGGUCGAGGGAAAAAAACUGUUUAAAACACUGAAAUUUCCUUGUUUUUCCAAAGUAUAUGUCUGUCUCCAAUUGUGAUGUACAAUUGAAUAAUUAUUUACUUCAAUAAAUGUCAGUGAGGGGAUUAGGAAUUGAAGUUUGGGGGGGUCUGCUGACAGACACACAAACUAUCAUUGUGAACCUAGUUGAUUUGGAUCCAUGUGAACUAAAUGUGAGCUGAAUUCUGAGCUCUUAGUGUGAACUCUCACAAUGCUGCUCUUGGUUACCUGGGUUAAGUGUUUUAUCAACACUGUGAUUGGUUGCCUGGAACUAUGGUGCAGCAGCUUUUUGCACCAGGCUGCAUCCAUACAAUUUUGCCCGAGAAGUUUCAGGAGCACAACAAUGAGCAUCAUAACAAAUGCUGAAACUGAUUCGAGAAAAGUAACAGAUUUAGUGGUGCCUCUUCGACUAAAUCCAUGCUGCUGACAUUGUUCAGUUCUUGUCCGGACUGUUGACAAAUAGUCUGCUGCUCUGAGACAGCACAUAAUUAGCCGGUGAGCUAAUUAAGUCCAACACUAGAGGUGGUAACAUUAGUUCAUAAUCCCCACACUCUCUCUUAUCUUUCUUAAGAAUAUCAUUGAGUUUUUAAAUCUGCUUUCAUAUCUGCUGAUGUUUCCAUUACCUUCUGUUUCAUUAUUGUUUUUCUGUGCCUUGCAGAUAUCCAGCAGGUGUUGGUGAAAAAAGAGUUUCUCUCUGAGCAGCAGGAGAGGAGUCCCACUCUGGACCAGGGAUACACUGAGCCCCCGAACAUUUGCAAGGAACAGAAUUAUGGUGGACAAGAACCAGCCAGUAACUCAGAUUCAAGGAUAAAUAUACAACGAAAGACUCAAGACUCCCCUGAACCUGAGACUGAGGGCAGUGAUGAGAAUUGGAAUGAUACCAGACCACAAAAGUCAAGUCUAGUGUCUGUAAACAAAGUGAAAAAGAAGAUGCUGAAGAGGCUUGAGAAAUCACGUGUUUGCUCAAAGUGUUGUCGAAUAUUCAAAACACGACAAGAACUAGCAAUCCACCUGAAAGUUCACUCAGAGGAGAGACCCUUCAGCUGCCCAGAGUGUGGCAAAAUAUUCAAAACUAAAAAUUUACUAGGACAACACAUGGCAGUUCAUUUGGAUGAGAAACCCUUCAGCUGCUCAGAGUGUGGCAAAACAUUCAAAACUAAAAAUUAUCUGGCCCAACACGUGAGAGUUCACUCAGAUGAGAAACCCUUCAGCUGCUCUGAAUGUGGCAAAACAUUCAAAACUAAAUACGACCUGGCAAGCCACAUGAGAGUUCACUCAGAUGAGAGACCCUUCAGCUGCUCUGAAUGUGGCAAACCUUUCAAAACUAAAGGAGAACUGGCAAGCCACAUGAGCGUUCACACAAGGGAGAGACCCUUCAGCUGCCCAGAGUGUGGUAAAUUGUUUAAAACAAAAAGGCUGAGGACCAAUCACAUGGGAGUUCACACAGAGGAGAGACCCUUCAGCUGCUCAGAAUGUGGCAAAACAUUCAAAAGUAAAGGAGACCUGGCAAGACACAUGAGAGUUCACACAGAGGAGAGAGCCUUCAGCUGCCCAGAAUGUGGCAGUACAUUUAAAACAAAAACCCAUCUGGUGCACCACAAGACGGUUCACUCAGAGGAGAGACCCUUCAGCUGCCCAGAGUGUGGUAAAUUGUUUAAAACAAAAAGGCUGAGGACCAAUCACAUGAGAGUUCACUCAGAUAAGAGACCCUUCAACUGCUCGGAAUGUGGCAAAACAUUCAAAAGUAAAAAAGAACUGGCCCCCCACAUGAGAGUUCACACUGGAGAAAGACCCUAUAGCUGCCAUGGAUGUGAUAAACUUUUUCAAACUAAACAAUCGCUAAAUAGACACAUUCAAUCUCAAAGGGUGAAGAAGUCCACUGGCUGUUGUGUUUGAAGGGAAGUACUCUUUGGAAAAUGAAGUCAGGUUUCACAUUUUCUAGUUUAUGCUGGGGAGUAGAUUUUGAGUUUUUUACAGUGUGGUGAAGGAGUUAAACAUAACAUUUUUCAAAACCUACAAAUGUUGAUUCGUACUAGAGAGAGACAUUUUCGUUCUGUGUAUAAUAGAAUAUAUUGACACUAGGCUAGUCCAAGAAUGUCACAUGGCUCUUCAGGUGUGUGUGU